CAUAAACCUUAACUUAUUUUACACCUCUUUCUUUCUCUCCCGCUUAGAAGCUCCCUGUUUUUUUUUUUUUUUUGCAAACAACAUCAGAUCUAUAUGUGUUCAUUUAGAUCUUUUAGUUUUCAUUUUAUUUUUUAGAUCCUAGAGCUUCUUAUGUUAAACAUGGGUUUGCAUGUUUUGAGUUUUGUCUUCGGGUUUUUUUUUUUCACAUUUUUUGUUCGAUCGACUGGAUGUUUUUUGGUUCUCAUUUCAUUUUUUUUAAAAUAGAUGAUUUUUUUUGGUCGUUUGAUGGUUUUUUUUUUUUUUUUUUUCCGUGAAGCCCUUCGUUAACUUUAACUGAUUUUUUUUUUUAAAUCCAUGUUUUUUUUUCUGUAUAGAUCAGUUUCCAUGUUUUUAUUCUCUAUUUUUACUAACAUCCAUCAGAAAGUUAUGAUCUUUUUAUUUGUAAAUUGGAUUCUCUUCUCUAAACCCAUUUUCAGCCCUCUUUUUUUCAUUUUGAGAAGGAGCUAAGAAGCAAGUCAUAAACCUUAACUUAUUUUACACCUCUUUCUUUCUCUCCCGCUUAGAAGCUGUCUGUUUUUUUUUUUUUUUUUUUUGCAAACAACAUCAGAUCUAUAUGUGUUCAUUUAGAUCUUUUAGUUUUCAUUUUAUUUUUUAGAUCCUAUAGCUUCUUAUGUUAAACAUGGGUUUGCAUGUUUUAAGUUUUGUCUUCGGGUUUUUUUUUUUCACAUUUUUUGUUCGAUCGACUGGAUGUUUUUUGGUUCUCAUUUCAUUUUUUUUUAAAAUAGAUGAAUUUUUUUGGUCGUUUGAUGGUUUUUUUUUUUUUUUUCCGUGAAGCCCUUCGUUAACUUUAACUGAUUUUUUUUUUAAAUCCAUGUUUUUUUUUUUUUUUCUGUAUAGAUCAGUUUCCAUGUUUUUAUUCUCUAUUUUUACUAACAUCCAUCAGAAAGUUAUGAUCUUUUUGUUUGUAAAUUGGAUUCUCUUACGGGGUUUCAGAUCUAUGAUUCAAUGGUCUUCUUCCCUGAAAUUUUUCCUCUCUUCAGUGGUGUAGUACGUUUAAAUGUGUUAAUAGAUUUGUGAUUUUGUUUGUUUGUUUGUGUUUGGAUUUGUGUAGGUGAGGAUUCAAUUGGGUUAGGGAUCAGCAGCCCAAGGGCGAGGACCAUGCUUGAGGAGGAGGGCUUUGGUGCCUUUUACAAGCUUCCAUUCCAAAGCAAUAGCUGGCACACGUACAGAAGGGGAAAACUCGUGUGCAGAAGGGAAAAAAUAAGAAGAAAUGAGACUCUAGUUUUUCAAAAUUGUAACUUAUUAUAAUGUUUUGUCAUUAUAAUUUAUAGGAAAAGACAAUAGUAUCCCUACCUAAUUAAUUUGGCACUAUUUUUCUUCAAAAAAUUCAGUUAUUAUAUUAAUGGAAUUUAAAUAGACAACA